AUGCGGCCCGGUGUGCUGAGGGGAAGGUGGGAUGGGCCUUCAUCCGGCCGACGGACUGACUUGGGCAGCGGACGUGCUCCAAGGGGCUUUAAAACAGCCUCACCUUGGCUAAACGAUCUACAGCUUAAAGAUGUUCCUCAUAAAACCGCAUGGCUGUCCCGAGAGCUGGAUGCGCCCAGAAGGCACUGCUGAAGAAGGGCUGAUAGAAUUGAAGAAUGGAAAGGUAAAGGAGGCCGUGCAGCCACAUCUGAUGGGUCCGGCUCUCUGGAGCACCGGGCCCUGCUGCCACCACACACGGCUCUGCAGGCCUGGGGGCAGGCAGGGCAGCGGCAUUUUGGCUGUGCUAUAAGGCGCUGCUUGGAGCAAAUACACUGCUUGGUGCUGCCUGAAUCUCUGUGCUGAGAUGUCCUACUGCAGAUGCAGAACACAGCGUGCUCUACGGCCCAGUGUGUACUCAGCGAACAUCACCUGGUCUCCCGCAGCACAGCGUACCACCAGCCUUCCGGGAGCUUUCAGUCACCCUCUGAGUUUCAGCAUAGUACAAAGGAAUUUUCAGCCCACUUAUGGACUCCUGAAUUCUCUCUCUUGUGGAGGUGCAAAUAUUGCAUGUGAUCACGAUGACUUCUCUUUUGUCAGGCUUUGUAGAGCCCUUGCAUAUAAUUUGUGGACCACAGAGAGGGCUACAGACCUCAGAUGGAAAAGCACUUUGGGGGAAAUCGAAUGGCAUUGAUGUUUUAAAUGGAUUUUAGAAGAUGACAGAAUUGUAGGAGCUGGCAGGACGGCUGGAUGUCAUCCAGUCCAACCCACUGCUAAGACAGGGUCAUGCAGUAGGUCACACAGGGACACGUCCAUUUAAAAAAUGACACCCAAACUUGAUGGACCUUUGUGGCCAGAGCCUUCUCACAUUCAUUUUUUCUUCCCUCCCCCCCCCCCCAAAGAGAUGCAAUCACUCUGCCAUCACAAGAAGCAGGAAGGAAAAUAUAUAAAAUAUAUUUAGCAAAACCAGUAAAAUGAAAGUAGAACAGAAAAUGCAGUCAAGUAGCAGACAUUAUGUACAGCGGCGGCUUUACAGUUUGUCCUACACAUACCUCCAUACUUAUUUCACAUACGCUUCUUAAGGAGAAGGAAGUAAACAGAAACAAGCUGUUAUGAAAGAAAACAUAUUUUUCCUGAACAGUAAAGGGGGUUCAUCACUGCUUUGGCAGGUCCGAUUCAGAUAAGGAUAUAUAUGAUUCAGAAAAAUGAGAGGACAGCACUCUCUCAGUCCCUAGAUUAAAAUCACACCGUCCUCCUCCUACAGACCACACCGGUAUCUCACACAACAAUUACACUCAUAGCAUCUAGACAUUAUCUGUCCACCUUCAGGUAGGUAACAAACAACCAAGAUACAAAACAGGUUAUCUAAUUUGUCCAGCUUUCCUGAGGCUGAGUGAAAUGUUUACAUACAUGUGCGCUUAUCAAAGUCCACGUUACAGUACAUUUUUAACAGUAGUUUGUUAAACCAUGAAAGUGCAUAACAGCCUACAAGCAGGCAGAAAGUACUUCGGAACAGUCUGUCCUCACAGCGGCAGAACGCCAGCCUUCCCCAGGAGCGCUGAUCUCACAAGGGGACAUCAGUGUCUUCCUAAAGGCUCCAAAGCGCUGCGCUGGGCUUUGGUUCUUUGUUACAAGUACUCGUGGGAGCAAAGCAGCACUACAGGUAUUGGUGCGGUACUAAGACUAAAGCCAAUGUCUUGCCAACUUGUCACCCAGUUGUGGAGGAACCUUUCAAAUCAGCACUUGACAGUCUGUAGUGAUGCCCUUCAUUCGGUAAACAGCACGGUGAUAGAUUGGAAGUGACCUGAAUAUGCCACAAACCCAAACUGUGACAUCCACGGCAAUAAGUAACAGCAACCCAACUGAACUCCUUCACAGCAGCGAGCGGUGGGACAGACUUCGAGGGGGAGCGAAAGGGAGAACACCAUGCAAAGCUGCUGCCUUCUUUGGACUUGCAAAGACAACACAAGAUUCCAUUAUACAGUUAGCAAACCUCAUGGUGAUUGUGCCAUAUCACACAAUGCCAAGACAACCCCUCACUGAUGGAAGGGCAGCAUUUAUUAAUCCUUGUGGGAUGACACUGGGUAACGAGAGGUUGACGCGUGCAUUAUCAACUUGCUUUCCUUUUUACGGAGUAGCGUGAUUUUUCUUUCUUAACCCCAUAGAAGAAUUUUUACUUCCUACUCCUCAUGCCCAUGUCCAGACCUCCUCUGCUCAGCUGCCAAACCGCUCCAGCACUGAGGCUUCUUAGAGUCAAUAAGCAUCAGAAGGGAAAACCAAACCAGCCACUAACGUCACCACACACAACUGAAGCGUGUGGAAAUUUCUUAGAGGAAAAAUGAGUGGGUGUUGCACACACUUCCAGAAACAAGUACGAGUGAAGGUUUUGUACCCAAAUCAUUCAAGUUUAUUCCAGACCUCGUAUUUAAGGUAAAGUAGUCCAAUUUUCUACACAUAAGGCUCUUGGAUGUGCUGCUGCUCUCAGUCUUGCCAGCUCUUUCCAGGGACUUGCCUGAAAUCACCUUUGAUGUUGCUGUCCUCCACCAGAACAGACAAUGAACUAACGCAGGCCAAUAUCGAUGUAUGGUCACAGUAACUGAACUUUUGAAACCAGUGACAUUUCAGUGAUGCGUACAGCCAAGGCUGCAGUGAGCUGCCAUCACCGCAGCUGUCACGUAUUUUACUUACAGGAUUUGGGAAUUUUUCUUCUUUAAAAAAAACAACGUGAAUGCAUGAAAGGAAGAGGGGAACAGAACAACACAGCUGUAGUUUUUCCAAACAUAAUCACAUUACAGAACAUUAGGAGCUGCUGCCCGUAGCCAAGCCUUUCCGAAAUACAUGAAGGAACAUACAGUUGGAUGUAAUUUACAUGGGAACAUACACGAGGUUGGUGAACACUUCUAUGCCUCGCAUCCUCUGAACUGCUUAGAUUAAAUCUACACAGAAUUUGAGACCCAGGAAGCAGCUUCUGGGAAUACAGACACCACCAGUAGCAGGCCUGAAUAGUCACCAUUACCUUAUUGUUUAUGGAGAAUGAGGUGGAGGGGGGAGAGAAAAUUGUCCUUAUGUUCCCAGCUACCUCUGUGACCUCUGGCACUUCCACACACUGCACCCCUCACACACCCAAACCGACCACAGUUCUUUUUGUUGAUGGACAAACUCACACCAUUAGGCGCUGAUUUUAAUCUCGUUACCCCCAGAAACUUGAAGCAAAGCACCGCUCACUCACACAGUCCACCGCUCCUGGCUGGCUCUCAGUUCCACAGCGGCCCUCUGCUUGCUCCUGCCUGAAGGUGGGUAACAAACGCUACUGCAGGAGUUCAACACAAGUGGGAUUUCAGAACAUGAUGAACAAGAAUACACACAACACAUGGCCAAAACAAAAUAAAAGCCUUUAGUGGAAAACACUUUGAUCCUCUUCCUGUUUAUGGAUCUUAAAAAUACAGAAAGCUUUCAUUUCAAAACUGGAGAUUCAGCGGCGAUAAGGCCGGAUUACAUAGCUGCUUCCCAAGGUUUAUUGCAAUCAACUGGAACAUUUCUAUGUAACUCCACAUCGCCAACUGUACAGGUAAAACAAGACGUGAAAUUAACUAGCACUUCAAUCCCUGCUUUCCAUAAUAUAUAAACUCAACAUAGUACUGAAUUGUACAUUUAAGUAUUUACACGUUUGAUUGCCAGCAGUCCUAGCAUUUAUUGCCUUAAAGCUGCAUGGUUACUGCGUGGAAGUUCCUCACAAAGAGAACAAAUAAAAGGGAUAUUAAUUUUGUUAUAAAGUUUAGAACUGCUCAGUGAGAGGCUGAAACGUGCUGCAUAGCAUUAUUAGAAAGCUUGGCUGUACAUUUGCUUUUUAAAAUCAUUUUCAAAGAUCACACAGAAAUAGAUGGAAAAUGGCACGAGUACCACCUUCCAUCAAGGCUGGAAGAGCCUUCCUGAUCUUUUAUAACAGCCUCAAAGAACAUGAAAAUCAGGACAGGGAACGGGACGAAAUGAAAAAGCAGCACUUGCUUUAACUCAGUGAGGAGGAAGGCAGGCCAGGGACACCUCGUUUCUCUGUUGCUUGAGCCCAGUAAAUCUCAUAUUGCUUUCUUUUUUUCCUUAAUUUUCUUAAGACAGGUGGUAGCUUAAGGCUCUACAGCAAAUCACACAAUUUGCUCCAUGAUCUGUGCUAGGGAGCUUUAAUCUCAUGUACUGCGGAGAGCACGAUCUCAUACUGGAAGCAACGUAGAGGUUUCGGAGGGCUGGCUCUUUGUGUUUUAAUCACUGCCACCAGGCUGUAGUUACACUGAGCAGAAUUCGCGGCGGUGGGAGAAACCUGAGAGAAGUGUGAGAUGAUUCAUGUUUGCUCAUUGCAGGAAAGCACUCAAAAAAGAAAAGCAAUAAACCUACCACCAUGGGAAGCACUUGAGAGAAGCAGCAGCACCAAAGCCUGGAUACCUAACAACUGUCCUCCUUCUGUUUUUUAUUUAGAGCAGAACCGAGGCACCGUGGUGGGGAAUCAGGUCUUAGCGAAGAAGAAACCACCGCUGUAAGUGAAACAGCCGAUGCGGACAGCCAGCAGCUCUGCACCGCAGUAGCCCAUUCCUGUGGAACACCGUUCUGCCGCUGCCUCCCCGGCUUCAGAAUUACAAAACCCUUCUGUUUCCAUUACAGUAAAUCUUACACCUCGCAAAACUAAAAUUAAAAUAUUUAAUAUUUACAAAGCAAUCCCGAUCCUCAAUGCAUUUCAUAGGCAUAAGCUAACCCUCACAACACCCCUGUGAGGUAGGUAGGUACCAUCGCUGUUUUUACAAAGAUGCAGAUUUAGUGACGUGCCAACGGCCACGGAGGGCCCAGUGGAAAAACUGAUACAAAAUUAGAGGAGCCUGGCUCCUACUCCUGCGCUUAUAUUCAUCAAGCUACUUCCAUAAAGAACACCCCUUCUUACGGAAUUAUUUAACUGAAAUUACUUGAAGUGUUUUAUAAAAGAAAUGCCGCAAUUGUCUCUUUGUCAUAGUUUUUACAGAUCACAAGCUAAAAUUUACAUCACCUUUUAAAGAUUUAAAUUUAAAUGGACAACUGACUACUCCAAGCAAGCUUAUUUUCUAGAACUACAUGGCUUAAAUACAACGGGAUUUACCCAGGUAAACAUCGGGGUUUUACCAAGUGCAAUGCACUAUCAAAGAGAUGCUCCAGCUUCAAACCCCUCUCUUUGAACUUGUAGGAUUUGGACAUGCUGAGAAAACAAGUUUCUAAUUCCUGAGGAAAACCGUGAGCCCUUUGUCACUGAGCAGUGAAACACAAACGUGGGGGCAAGAAGAUGUAGCAGAUUCUUGUGGUAACUUGGCAAAGGUAGUUAAGGCAUUAUGUGCAUGAAAGCAGAGGUGUAACGCAGUUCACUUCUCCCUGCCCACGUGUCUGUGCUUUCAAAGUCUUGGAUUUCAUGACCCAAGCAGAUGGUCAUGUUUGCCAGCAUCAAAAUCUAUAGUCAGAACAACAGUGCUACUGUGGUAGCACUAAAAACAGCUAUGGUGAUGGGGGAAGGGCUGGAGAAAUGGGAAAGAAGCUACUGGAUUUCUACUCUCAGAAGAAAAACAUGGGAGCAAUGAUCUGCUUUUGCCAAAGCAUUAUAAUGCCUAGACAAAUAACGUUUGUUACAAUUACAUCACAUGCAGCACUUGCAACUCAGUUUGACAUGUCCUUUUUGGAUGUUUUCUUUCAAGAAACAAGUGCCUUUAAAAACUAUUAUCCCCUUCGUGUGGUGAAUGGAAGAGCAAUGCAGUGAUGCUGUUGGUAUUUCGGAACCAUUACCUGGAGCCAGCUCUCAAGGUCCACUGAAAGUGGUCUUAGGCACUGCUCUGUGGACCUGAAUGAACAACACGUACAGACUUACAGCAACUGGAUGCAGCGUUUUGUUUUUCUUGGGGUUGUGAAAGGUAUAUAGAGGCAAAAUAGUUCAGGCAGAAGUAGCCACCUGGCCAGGAGUAUCAAUUCAGAGAACCCACUGUUGAAAAACAUGCUGGGCGUUUCAUGGAUGUCACUAAGGGGAAACACAUUUGCAUGUGCUCUGAAAAGAACAUCAACCAGCAAGGAAAGAUCCACACUGAACAAACAAGAACAGAAGAAAAAUUAAAAAGAACAACAUCGUUCCACAUAACAUUAAGCACAAAAAUCACACAAAGCGCUCUCUAGGACAGUUUCCCUUUAACAUAAUAUUGAUUUUUAAAUAAAUGGAUAAACAAAAGUUUUAAACAAUCUUCAAGAUGUGUUUUUGAAAGUAAAUCUUCAUACUUUAACAGGUCUCGAUAAACAAACCAAGGCGUGCAUCAGCACUUUUUACAAUACAAUGGGCCUGAGUAGAAAAGUAAUGGGCAUGCACGUGGAUUUGAUCUGGAUACUAACUCCACCUUUACUCCCAACCAGCUACAACACUUGAGAUAACGUCACAAAAGUGAAGUUAUAUUUUUGAAUAUUGAGACAGCUUCUAAAAAGUGACGGAGGCACAGCUGGUUCUAGAGGAGCAUCACUUCGACAGUCAGAUCCAAAUAAGUUGAAGGUAUUUGCCAUGAUCUCUUUGUAGGCCUCGGCCUAAAUAUUUGGCAUCAUCUACACUGUGACAGAUCAGCAGCAGCUCCUUGAGCCCCUUCUGUUCACAGGCUUUAAUGCCCCCUCAUCAUCACCCUGUGCAACAUACAGGUUCAGAGAAACACCAGAAGCAGUUUCAGAAACAGAUCAAAAAACCCUAAGCUAUUAAAAACAGAUCCUAAUUAAAACAGAUCAAUCUGCUGGGAUCACCAUCAUCUCUGCAAGUGAAUGGUCAGGAGGUUGGGUUGUUUUUGAAGGAAAGCACUAGAGCUUCCGGGAAGAACUGAGUGCAACACCCCUCCCUGUUGUAAAAAGCUAUGCCAAUUAUGUUAGAAAUAAAGCACUCACAGGGGAGGUACAUUA